UCGAUACCUUGUGCAGAAAUCAGCAGUCAGCACCAAAGUAGUUGCACAGAUUCAAGCCUUCACUCCUGAGUAUAUGCUUGGGUUAGCCACCCCUCUGACUAUCAAAGCCAACCACACUUCCCUAAAGAGCCCGAGGGAGAGAACAUCGGCUUCACAUUGAGCCCCACGUGCUGACCGGUGGCUGCUGUGUCACUGCAAUGUCCACUUCUCUUGGAUUCACCAGUCUUCUCGACGGUGGACUAAACUACUGCAACCUCUACAACCUGCUGUCAGCGAGCGGGCUCAUGACUUCAUGGAGAUGACCAAUGAAUGGGCUUGCCUGGGCUACGGACUCGCCACCUGCAAAGCCUAAAGCCCCU